GAGCUCAUACCCGAAAGGGUAGACCUCCCACCCUUGUGUAUUAUUACUUUGUUGCUUUGGCGAGCUGCCUUCGGGCCUUGUAUGUUCGCCAGGGAAUAUCAAAACUCUUUUUAUUAAUGUCGUCUGAGUACUAUAUAAUAGUUAAAACUUUCAACAACGGAUCUCUUGGUUCU
rnacentral:misc_RNA from 1 species